GGCACCGUAGUGUAAUUUGUUAACGCAUCGGCACACAUUGCCGAAGUCCCUGGUUCGAGUCCAGUCGCUACCU
rnacentral:tRNA from 1 species